UACGAAGGGGGCUAGCGUUGCUCGGAAUCACCGGGCGUAAAGGGUGCGUAGGCGGGUUUUUAAGUCAGGGGUGAAAUCCUGGAGCUCAACUCCAGAACUGCCUUUGAUACUGAAGAUCUUGAGUCCGGGAGAGGUGAGUGGAACUGCGAGUGUAGAGGUGAAAUUCGUAGAUAUUCGCAAGAACACCAGUGGCGAAGGCGGCUCACUGGCCCGGUACUGACGCUGAGGCACGAAAGCGUGGGGAGCAAACAGG
rnacentral:rRNA from 1 species